rnacentral:rRNA from 1 species
UACGGAGGGUGCAAGCGUUAUCCGGAUUCACUGGGUUUAAAGGGUGCGUAGGCGGUCUUGUAAGUCAGUGGUGAAAUACGGCAGCUCAACUGUCGAGGUGCCAUUGAUACUGUAGGACUUGAGUACAGACGAGGUAGGCGGAAUUGACGGUGUAGCGGUGAAAUGCUUAGAUAUCGUCAAGAACACCGAUAGCGAAGGCAGCUUACUAGGCUGUAACUGACGCUGAGGCACGAAAGUGUGGGGAUCAAACAGG